ensembl:snoRNA
GGAGGACCUUAUCAAAACUGCAACUGCUUCCUCAUAGCUGCUGUGGUCAAAAAGGAGCCCAGAAUAAGUUCUUCCCUUGACGGUUGCGGCUCUGUUCGUUGUAACUGAUAUGCAACAUUUUGGGGAAAAGACAAUU